UAACAUAGUCUACACAUGUACGUACACUUG
rnacentral:piRNA from 1 species